rnacentral:rRNA from 1 species
UACGUAGGGGGCUAGCGUUGUCCGGAAUCAUUGGGCGUAAAGCGCGCGUAGGCGGUCAGGUAAGUCCGGUGUGAAAGUCAAAGGCUCAACCUUUGAAUGCCGCUGGAUACUGCCUGACUUGAGUCCGGAAGGGGCGAGUGGAAUUCCUGGUGUAGCGGUGAAAUGCGCAGAUAUCAGGAGGAACACCAUGUCGGAAGGCAGCUCGCUGGGAACGGUACUGACGCUG